AAAAAAAAAAAAAAAAAAAACCGGUGCCCCACAGAGUGUGUAGAAGUUAAUGUCUCAUAAAGAUGCACCGAUGUACCAAGCAGGAAAGAGAUGCAGUUAGCACAGGAUAAUUAAGUUUGACAAAAGUAAAUGGGAGGUUAUCAACAUCAUAUAGGCCAAUACAAACUAAUCAACUGAUAACUCCAUUUGCAAACUGGCUCAUCCUCCACGCAUAUGAGCACCUAACUCACCAAACUGAUCAUCAGCUUCCACAGUAUCCUCUGACAGGCGAACAGCAUCCAGCUUUUGUUU
rnacentral:misc_RNA from 1 species